rnacentral:rRNA from 1 species
ACCCAGACUCCUACGGGAGGCAGCAGUGGGUCCUCUUGCACAAUUUUGGUCACCCUGAUGCCGCGACGCCGCGUGGGUGAAGGAGCCCCUCGGUGCGUAACUCCCUAUCGGCAGGGACGAAACAGACGGUACCUGACUAAGAAGCCCCGGCUAACUACGUGCCAGCAGCCGCGGUAAUACGUAGGGGGCAAGCGUUAUCCGGAUUUAUUGGGGUUAAAGGGUGCGCAGGCGGCCCGGCAAGCCGGCGGUCAAAUCGCGGGGCUCAACCCCGCCCAGCCGUCGGAACUGCCGGGCUAGAGUGGGCGAGAAGUGCGCGGAAGGCGUGGUGGAGCGGUGAAAUGCAGAGAGAUCACGCAGAACGCCGAUUGCGAAGGCAGCAUACCGGGGCACAACUGACGCGCAGGCACGAAAGCGGGGGGAUCGAACAGGAGGAGAUACCCCCGUAAUG